UUCAUCACUAAAAUGUUUCACAAGCUCUAAAAAGGACAACAACAAACAAGAAGUGGCAUAAUGGUCGUCCAUCAGAAAUAACGUAUUUGUGAUGCUUUGUGAAAUGAUGACAGAGUUUGAAGAUACAUCACAUGCAGGGCAGUCGACAAGGGUGGACAACUGGAGACAUGUUCAAGGAAACCAAUAUGGGGCAUUUACACAUGAAGCAAGACAGUAUUCACAGAAAAGUUUUUUAAAAGAUUUAUACUGCUUGAUGGUGAUAACAAUCUGGUGAAUCAAGAAUGUGAUACAAUCCUCUGGAUCACAGAGAGAGAUGAUACCAGUCAUCACAAAGCAUGUGAGCUUAGAGUGGGUCAUGUUAAUGGACACCCGGUAUCUGUGUUAAAAACUCCAUCCAAUUGGCUACAACAGUUGAGAUCAGCAUUAUUUUUCAAGCGUGCAUUAAUUUUUAAUAGGAGCAACGAAAACUUAAAUGAUUACUAAAUGAAAUAAAACUGCAGUUAGAUGCAAUAUU